UACGUAGGGUGCGAGCGUUGUCCGGAAUUACUGGGCGUAAAGAGCUCGUAGGUGGUUUGUCGCGUUGUUCGUGAAAUCUCACGGCUUAACUGUGAGCGUGCGGGCGAUACGGGCAGACUUGAGUACUGCAGGGGAGACUGGAAUUCCUGGUGUAGCGGUGGAAUGCGCAGAUAUCAGGAGGAACACCGGUGGCGAAGGCGGGUCUCUGGGCAGUAACUGACGCUGAGGAGCGAAAGCGUGGGGAGCAAACGGG
rnacentral:rRNA from 1 species